rnacentral:rRNA from 1 species
CGCAUGGUAGGAGAGCGUUCCGUAAGCCUGCGAAGGUGCCUUGUAAAGGGUGCUGGAGGUAUCGGAAGUGCGAAUGCUGACAUGAGUAGCGAUAAAGGGGGUGAAAGGCCCCCUCGCCGUAAGCCCAAGGUUUCCUACGCAACGUUCAUCGGCGUAGGGUGAGUCGGCCCCUAAGGCGAGGCAGAAAUGCGUAGCUGAUGGGAAGCAGGUCAAUAUUCCUGCACCAUUGUUAGAUGCGAUGGGGGGACGGAUCGCGGAAGGUUGUCCGGGUGUUGGAAGUCCCGGUCGCUGCAUUGGAGAAGGCGCUUAGGCAAAUCCGGGCGCGUAAUUCAAGGGUGUGGCGCGAGCUCCUUCGGGAGCGAAGCAAUUGGAAGUGGUUCCAAGAAAAGCCUCUAAGCUUCAGUCUAACGAUGACCGUACCGCAAACCGACACAGGUGGGCGAGAUGAGUAUUCUAAGGCGCUUGAGAGAACUCGGGAGAAGGAACUCGGCAAAUUGGUACCGUAACUUCGGGAUAAGGUACGCCCUUGUAGCUUGAC